rnacentral:rRNA from 1 species
GUGGGGAAUUUUGGACAAUGGGCGCAAGCCUGAUCCAGCAAUGCCGCGUGCAGGAAGAAGGCCUUCGGGUUGUAAACUGCUUUUGUACGGAACGAAACGGUCCGGGUUAAUACCCUGGGCUAAUGACGGUACCGUAAGAAUAAGCACCGGCUAACUACGUGCCAGCAGCCGCGGUAAUACGUAGGGUGCAAGCGUUAAUCGGAAUUACUGGGCGUAAAGCGUGCGCAGGCGGUUUUGUAAGACAGGCGUGAAAUCCCCGGGCUCAACCUGGGAAUUGCGCUUGUGACUGCAAGGCUGGAGUGCGGCAGAGGGGGAUGGAAUUCCGCGUGUAGCAGUGAAAUGCGUAGAUAUGCGGAGGAACACCGAUGGCGAAGGCAAUCCCCUGGGCCUGCACUGACGCUCAUGCACGAAAGCGUGGGGAGCAAUCAGGAUUAGAAACCCUGGUAGUCC